AUUGAACGCUGGCGGCAUGCCUUACACAUGCAAGUCGAACGGCAGCGGACCUUCGGGUGCCGGCGAGUGGCGAACGGGUGAGUAAUGUAUCGGAACGUACCUUUCAGUGGGGGAUAACGUAGCGAAAGUUUCGCUAAUACCGCAUAUUCUGUGAGCAGGAAAGCAGGGGAUCGCAAGACCUUGCGCUGAUUGAGCGGCCGAUAUCAGAUUAGCUAGUUGGUGAGGUAAAGGCUCACCAAGGCGACGAUCUGUAGCGGGUCUGAGAGGAUGAUCCGCCACACUGGAACUGAGACACGGUCCAGACUCCUACGGGAGGCAGCAGUGGGGAAUUUUGGACAAUGGGGGCAACCCUGAUCCAGCCAUGCCGCGUGAGUGAAGAAGGCCUUCGGGUUGUAAAGCUCUUUCGUCCGGGAAGAAAUCGCAUCAGCUAAUACCUGGUGUGGAUGACGGUACCGGAAUAAGAAGCACCGGCUAACUACGUGCCAGCCGCCGCCGUAAGAC
rnacentral:rRNA from 1 species